UAUAAAUGUGUAGUUUUGUGUUUUAACAUAUUGGUAUCUGAAUUCAAAGAAAAAAUAUAAAAUUUUUUAUGAAAAAAUUGAAUCUUCAAUCAUCAUUUACUGAAUCAAUAAUAGUAUGUUCAAUAUUAAUAUGGACUAUCUCAACUUAAAUUGAUAUUUGUUAUUGUCUACAACUACACUACUACCAACGUCAAAUUUGGUGUAUUAUAUUAUUGUAGUCAAUCAGUCUAAUCUAAUUCUAUCAAUACAUUGUCGAAUGUUGUGGUAUUCAAUUUUCAGUAAAUUUAUAGGUGUUUUAUUUUAAGUUACUGUGGCACACUAUUGCAGAUAACGGUUUUCCAUUAAGUCAGUAAGAAGAAUAAGAUGGAUUCACAAGUUCAAAUCAAAUAUUAGACAACUAUAUAUAUUUAGUUAUUCAGCUAAAAAUGUAAUUCAAUAAAAUAAUUUAAAAGUACUUUAUCAUUUUAAAAGUGACAUAAAGUUUUUAAACACACAUAUACUUAACAUAUCUAUAAUUAUUAUACAUUAUUUAUUAAUUAUUAAUGAUGAAUUCUUUAUUUAAUAUUAAUUUAAUCUAAAAUGCUGCUGAGAAUGUUAAUAUUUCUAAAAUAUGUUAUUGUCUUAAUCCAAAUCUUGAAAUUAUU